CCACAAAUUUUCUUGCUCUGACUCUCGGUGCUUUGAAACGUGAAGCCUCAUCUCCAUCCUCCUCAAUUUCUUAAUCCGCCUCUUCAAUCUAUCCUCAAGAUGGAAACCACAAUCGCGUGUUCUGCUCUGAAGAUUUGAAUCCACCUCUUAAUCAUCUUCAAUCUAUUGCUCUGACUUUUUGAUCUCUCUUCCGCCACUGUCAUCGAAGCCUCCGUCGUGCCGUCGUUACUGUCAACGUGAGUUCUUUACUCUAGGAUCUGAAUUGGAAAUUCUCAAGACAAGUGUAUCUAUUCUAUGCUACCUGAAUCACCUUCCCUAUCAAUUUCAUACUCUCCAGGAGGGCUUAUGUUCAAGCCAUGAGGGAGUAACUUGCAGCAUGCAACGACAUUUUCAUUCCUUUCAUUUGAUUACUAUAUCCGGAGCAGGACAAUAGUUUUUACAUUUGAGCAGGGCUUAUGUUUGUCUAGGUAAUAUCAUACUCUCAAUUCCCUUUAUUGAUAAUUAUUUUAUUGAAUUGUGAGAAUCCUGUAAUAGUUUUGAUGCUGCAGAUUUUGUUGGAUUGUGAGAAUCCUCUUUAUCAAUCUUAUUUUUCUGUUUCUAAUUUUUCUUUUCAUCUUUGAUGUUGCAGAUUUUGUUGAAUUGUGAAAAUCCUGUAACUUUGUAUUUUAAUUUUAAUUUUUAAAGUUCUUGUUUCUCUCAUUAAAGAAAGUAACCAUGAUGAUGUAGGGUAGGUGUGCAUUCCAUUGUUAACCUCUUCUGAAUCAUGAUAAUAAAAUCCUUGACAUCUCUGUUGUAAGUAUCUAGAAAAUUUUGCUCUUAUGUUCUGUGACAAGUGACACAUGUUCCUGAAAAGUGCAGCUAUAACUUCAGUCAUUGAUGGAAACCCUAAGUUCAUCAAACCUCACUAUAUCAGAUGCGUGAGGACAAACAAUGUCCUCAAGCAUGCUAUUUUUGAAAUUCUCAACAUUAUUCAUUAAUUAAACUGUGGUGUGAGUAUAUGGUGUAUAUUUGUCAUUAUUAGCUUUCUUUUUAUUAAACAUGCAAGGAGAAACUUCAAUGGCAACCAUUUACAGUUGGUGAUUGUUUAUUUGUUAUUUGCUUUAGGGUGUCCUUGAGGCUAUUAGAAUCAGCUGUGCAGGUUAUCCUACUAGACAGACCUUUUAUGAGUUUGUUAAUCGAUUUGGUGUUCUUGUCCCUAAAGUUCUAGAUGGAAGUUAAAUUACACCUCCUAGUUUCUCUCUCUUUUUUUUCUAUCUCCAAAUUGGCAAAUGGAUUUCUACCUUGUAUUUCAAGAAACUUGUCUUAUUUUUUUGUUUCUA